rnacentral:lncRNA from 1 species
GGAAAUAUCACUUAAUUAUAAAACAACCUUUUAUAGUAAACUAGGUAAUAAUCCGCGCCUUGUGCUGGAUAUAAUUUUUUGUUUCGUUAUUUUUAAUAAAAAGACAUGAAAUCUGUUUAAUCUGGAUAUUGGUUCUGUUUGAAAUUUUUUUUUUUUUGGUUUUUAAUCUUCUAAAAUAUAACUAUUAUUUUAAAUUAAUAUUCAUUUUAAAUUUUUCGGUUAAAAUGUUUGAUAUUUUGGUUUUUUCUGUUAAAAACCAAAAAUUAAUAUUAUUUAUUUAUUUUCAUGUUAAGAAUUUUAGAUAGCCG